UGGAUUUGACGCGUUCAAUACACUUGACAGCAGCAGCACGCGCUCAUAGUUUACACCAAUACAAGUGUCCACGUGAAGAACACGUCUUCGCCAUGAGAGUUGAAUCCCCAAACCCACGCGGUAACACGAUACGGCAAAAAAACACGUCUGCCGUCAUUUCAUACUAAAACUCCUCAAACGCAAUUGUUUCUAAAGAACUGUACAUAUAUGUGUUUGGCGAACUAGGAUUGGUAACAAAUAUUGGCCAAAAAGCGCGAUAAAAUGCUCCCUGAACAACGGACGAUUUUGGCAAACCUCCUCCUUCAAUUCAUAGCAGUCCAUUGCAAUACAAACGAAACGAAAUCGGAAGAUAAGAAAACCACAACUCAAUCAAGCAAGCAAGAAGAGGACGUCAGCAAAACGACUCUGGCGAUAAUAAUCGGAGUUACACUCGUUUUUGAUCAUAACAAUGAUGGCAUUUUUCAUGAUACGUGGUUAUCGCGCUGAAAAACGCAAAGCAGCCUGCAAUACACCCACUGAAAUCACCACUACGGAAGAGAGCAUAUCAAACCACAGAGCCGCGCAAAUCAACUUGGGACUGCGGCAAUGUGAAAACAGUACUGAAAAACUCUAGGAAAGCGAGAGAUUUAACUAGGACAAUAAAAUAUGUGCUCUUAUCUAUGACAAAGUCAUCGAAUUCUCGUUGUUGGAGCAGUCACUAACUAUUUAAUUCAUAGAAAUUAUUUAACAAAGAUCAACGAGAAACGGCCGAAACGAGAAUGUUUUAGCAGUUUGUACAUUGACUAAUCUAAUACGAACGUUGAUUUACAUUUAUUCGCGUAUCGCCAUAUUUCUGCUGUCUUUACAAAAAUAAUUUAGAAAUCUUCAAUAGUAAACCAGCAA